UUAUUACUGCUUUUCAGUAUGGAUAGAGUUUUAGAAUGGUCAUUUGAACUGACAUUUAAGGUAAGAAAGAACCAUUGCAUAGGUAUAUAAACUUGUUAAUCACAGACUUAUAUGUAAAUGCUCUUUAAUUUUGUUUAAGUCUUUGACAUUUAAGCCAAAAGCUAGGCAUGUGGGUUUCAUAGAAGUCUAAGGUUGAAGUUGGAUUGGCUGGUUUUUUAUUAGCAUGACACAGGAAAGUCGAGGGUCUGGGAUAAGACGGAAAGUCAUCAUAUUUGGUCAAAUUGUUUUCCGUCAUCUGUGAUUGACCAUAAUGUACCACCAUUUUGAUUGACAAUUUUGAUAGAAGUAAUGAAAUUUUAAAUAUUAUGACCAUAAAACAACUUUUGAACACAACUCCUGUGAUCGAGACUCUUUUACAGAAAGCUCUUGUAUGUAAUUUGACUGUUUUUCUAUCAUGUAUAGUUAUAAAAUUUGGAGAUGUGCUAUGAUUGCUAAUGAGACAGCUAUCCACCAAAGUUCAAAUGAAGAGCAAUUAUUGUCACAUUGAUGUGUUCUCUGCAUCUUCUUUUACCUUAAAAUGUUGUAUAUCUUUUUUUAUAUAAUGUUCAUAAGUAUACCAACAGUGAUUCCUUUUUUACUAUUUUGAAUGACUAAGCAUUUAUUAUUUUUCAGGUUAGCAUUACAUUUGGCCUUACAGAUUGAUGUUGGAAAUGGCUAUUAGAGUUGACUUUUACAGAUAACAAUUACUGUGGCUGAAAGGAUAUAUAAUUAUGUGAUUAAUUACUCCUUAGAGAUGUUGUGAAGGUUAUUAAUAUGUUGACAGCUGGGGACUCUCUCUUCACAAGACAUCAGAUUUAAAAUCCCCAUUUUGACACUGGACAUGACUGCCAAUUUGUACAUCCUGCACUAUCAAACAGAUGCAUUACUUUUGCAAGGAUUUUACUGCCAGUCUGAAGAAGACCAAAAGUGACCAUAUUACCCUUUGGGGGCUUUCUAACACUAUGGAACAGUUUCCAAUAUGAACGGUUCAAUUCUUGCAUAAACAAGAGAAAGAAUGUAGUUGAUAAAUUCUAAAAUAAUGAUUGUAAAGAUUCUCCAUUUUCAACAAGAGUAGAAGUUUUAGUUAAGGUUAGUGUAUUGUGUUUUGAAUUUUCACUCGACUUUCUUUUUCUCUCUAUCGUUAAAUGCUAUGGAUUUUUUUUACUUGUGGCUCAACAGAUAAAAUGGUUCUUAUUAAGUUGACAUUUACAUUGGUUAAGAAUGGAGAAUCUAAGAAUAACAAAAAUAUUGUAAAUCUUUUUAGUAUAGCAAUGGUUUUAUAUGGAAAUCAAAAAUAGUAUUGUCAAAAUUGGAAUAAUGAUACAUUCAAGAGAUUACACAUAGCAAUAUAUAAGUAAUCCUUAUUUACUACCAGUCACAGCCAUUUCUUGACUAAAUAUCAAGCCUAUUGCUACAGGUACUCAACUCAGUUUUAAUGGAUCAUAAGAUCAACAGGGUCAAGGGGAGAUAAUGCACCUGUUCCAUGCCUCAUACUUUCUUUAGUGCACAGUUUACCAAUAUAACUUAGACAUUCUCUUCUGUAAUUUGAGCAAUAUGUUUAACAAAGCAUCCAUUAAACUUUUCAUGCAUUGAGUAUUCUAAGCAUCUUUGGCUGAUUUUUGACAAGUCCAAUAAACAGGAGAAUAUUGAUGAAACGCAUUACUUUCAGGGAAAGUAAAAUAAUAUAAUUUCUGUAAAAAAAAGUAAUUUGUGUACUAUAUGUACUUAAUGUAAUGUAAAAUUUUGUAUAUAAUGGAAUUACAGACCACCUUAACAUAUAAUUGUCCAUAUUUUAAGUUAGAGCCGAUAGACUUUUCUGUAAUUUUGAUAUAAUUUGUCCCAUAAGUAGUGCACUGCACCUUAAAAAACUGUUGAAACAAGUGUGAUUUUUUGGGUGUUUAUUGUCUUAAAGAAAUGCACCUUGAAAUAACUGUAUUUGGUCCUAAAAGAUGAGUUUAGUAAAUGUAGAUUCUGCAAAUUCCCUAAUCAGUAAAUGUAGAUUCUGCAAUUUCCCUGAGGAGCUAUGUACAUAAAAGUUGAAUGUACAUUGAAUUAGUUGAAUCCAAUCUUAAAGAGUUCACAUAGUCUGUAAAAAAAAAUCACUUAACAAAGAUUGGUGUACCUGUUUCCUUUCAUUUGAAAUGUUUUUCUUCUUCUGUAGGAUAGUUUGAGUGGUUCAAAUAAAUGGCUGUUGAGGAUAAAAUUACAUACAAGUUUUUUCAAUUUAAAUGAAAAUAAAAUUUGCCUCAGACUAUACUGUCAGAAAAAAAGGUUCAAUGCAAGGGUCUUAUUGCGCUCAGAAUUUUUGCAUCAUGUCAAUUAAGCAUAGAAAUUACCAAAGAGAAACAAAUUUCCCUUCCUAUAGCUUCUAUAUGCACUUUUAUAUGUAAAUAUGUGUUACGGCCUAAAUUGACCCCAACUUAUUUUUAGUCUUGCAUGGCCUAGGACCAUAUAUUAUAACUGUGUGGUAUGCUAUUUGUAACUUUUCAUUCCAGUUAAAGCACAUCAAAUAUAUAAGAAAGAGUUAUUUAUGGCAAGAUUGCUUUACAAAUUUUAAUUCGGUGGAAAAAAAAAUCACAUUUUUUUUAUAAGCAUCCCCCCCUCACCCUCAAUUUUCAUAAGUAAUUUAGUUGCUGUUUUCUAGAUUCCCUAGAAUAAUAUAUAUUUCACUUUCUAUUCUUUUUGUCUGAUAUUGUAUCAAAACACACUUUUGUCAUAUUCUCCGACUCUCCUCACUUUUUUGAAGCCAAAACUGAACAGAGUAUUUUAUCGCUAUAUUGUUGACCAUCAGAACUUCUCUUUUUAUUAUCCUUACAAAAAUACAAUGCUUUUCAAUUAAAGAUGACGUAAAUUUGCACUUUUAUUGACGAUUAUCCAGUCUCUGGAAUUCACGUGAACUACUUUUAGCAAAUGCAACACAGAUUUAGUUUCUUUGUAUUUUUUUAACAUGUUUGUACUAGAAUUAUAGUAUGCAGCUUUAAACUGUAAACUUUUGAAUUAAGAAAGAUUUUCACAAAAACAAAAGGGAAUUGUUUUACACCAUUUACACUUAGGUAUUUUAUAGCGGACUUAAGUAUGGGCUUUGCUCAUUGUUAAUAGCUGAACAUUGACAUAUAGUUGUUAAUUUCUGUGUCAUUUGGUCUCUUCUGGAGAGAUGUCCACUAAAAAAAAAUCCACAAAAAGAUAAGAUUGAUCUUUUAAAAGCAUAAUUAUGCCAUGGGAAUAAAUUUUUCAAGAGUAAACUUGACAACAUGUCAUCUCUAUAUGUUAAAAGCAAGUAAUUUAAAAUGACUGGAGCCACAUAUUUUUACAUCCAAGAUAAUAGGUAGAAAAUUUAUUUUCUGCUGCCCUGUAAACUAGAAAUAGCGAGAACACUGGAGGAAACUCUCAGUGAUGAGCAAAAUUAUUCUGUGUUCCAUGUGUGCUUUGCAGUUUUAUUUACACCUAAAAGUGUUAAAAAUUAAGAAUUUGACAGAUAUUUUAAGAAAUCUUUUAUAGUGAAAAUGCAAAACCCCAAAUGGCUAUCAUUGUUGUCCAUGUAAAUAAUUAUUCAUUUAAACCUAAAGCCAGAUAACAAUUUCUGGCACAUCACUUUAUUUUUUGAGAUCUAUUUGAAUUAGGAUAGGUAAAUUAAUAAGCUACUAGGUAGUAAACUGUAUCAGAAGAAAAUUACUGAUCAUCAUGAACAAAUGCCGGUAGUCUAUAUCAAAUGUUUACGUUUUUUUUAUUCUUAUGUUCAAGGGGUAGGAUUCACUGUAAGAACCACUAUUCUGUCAAGGACCUUGUCUUUAGGCAUUUCUCUUUUUAUGUAUUAAGGCAUAUAUAAAAAAGGGGGUAUAUUAUUGCUAAUUAAGUGACAUUUCUGUAUUUCUUAUUGCAUUAUGUUGCCCAAAUCUCCAUAAAAUAUCAAAAUUAGGUAAAAUCAAGAGGCUCUAGAUUUUCUUAGUAACGUCAAAUUGAAUUUUCUGUUCACGGUUCACAUAAAACACAUAACAGCUAUGAUGAAAUCUUAAUUUCAGCCUUUUCAUAUUUCUUAUAAUUUUGUUUUGAUCAAACAUUGGUGACAAACAUAUAUAAAUUAGAGUUAUCAAAUCAUCAGCUUCAAGUCUUAAAAUAGACCUAAAUCAAACUUGAUUUAUCAAACACCUUGUUUUAAACUUAGCAGAACAGUUAAUAUGCUGGUCAAUGCCCAAUGUCCUCUGCAAAAUAGGAUAACUGUAAAGAAAGUCAUUAAAUGAUGAACAAUUGUUUCUUUGAUCCAUAAAUUGAAUAUAAAAAGUAGGGGUAUACAGUAAUCAACAAAUGCAAAGGAUAUCUGAUUUUAUUUCAGAAAAAGUCUGUAAAAUGGCUUUCAUUUUUAUGAUUGAAAAAAUAAGGGGGUAUAAAAGGGGAGAUAAUUUUGACAUAGUAGAAAUUAAAAUUGAAAUCAAAAGUAGUAGUUUGAUAUGAUAAUUUCCAUAUUAUUUCCCAAAACAGCAUGCUUAAGCUAGGUUCAUUUUGAAUGGAAAAUUUAUAAAAUAGUCUAAAUUUUGAGUUAUUGUUAAAUUAAAAAAUGAAUGAGAGGUUUCCUUAUUUUGAUGUUAACUUGAUCUUUUAAGAAAUUUGUUUUAUGCAUCAAUGGUUCUUGCAUAAGUAAUUCAAUAAGUAAAUUCAUGGUUUCCAAUUUCUUUUGAAAUUGAUUGCAUAUAAGAAAGACAAUUUUUGGUUCCUAUGGCACCUCAUAAGUAUUAAAAUAACAGAAGAGUACAAAAUUCUCAAGUGAAAAUGUGCACCUCACAAUUUGUCACCAUAAGAAGAAAUUAUAAAUAGAGAAUGAAAGUAGGUAUGAAAGUAAACUGGAUCAAGAAUGUUAAAUAAAAUAUGUUUUUGCAAAUUUGGACGACAAUUAAUUGCAAUUAUGUACCAUUUCAACAAUAGAAGUAGUGUAGACUUGCAAAUCCAUACCAUUACAACACUGGAAGUAGUAUGGUUGUCUGAGCGAAGCCAAUUGGAAGUACGUACCUCUUAGUGAAGCUAAUUGGGAGCACACCCUCUGUCUUGUUGCGAAGCUAAUUGGAAGCAGUACAUAUACACCUCUGUCUGCAAAAACUAAUUAGAAGCAGUACCCCUGGCAGUGCGGACCCAAUUAGAAGCAUGUAACUCUGAGGGAAGCCAAUUGGAAGCAUGUACCUCUGCAAAAUUUGAUUAAACAUUAUUCAACAAAUUUUAUUUAACAUUGUUUUUAAAGUUUUUUUUCUUACCAACUCUCAUUUUCUAUUUAUAAUUACUCCCCUUGUUGACAUUGUGACAUGCAAAUUAUCACUUCACCAUUUUGUACUCGCCUGUGGUUUUUAUCCUGAUGAUGAUGCACUAGAAACAGAAACACAUACAUUUAAAUUACUACAGCACACCCUCAAGUAUUAAGGGCCAAAUUUUUUAAAGUCAAAGGUGCAUAAUUUUAGUGUAUGCACCUUUAAAUGAUAACUUAACUUAACUUACUGCAACAUUUUGACAGCCUAGGUUCCUCAAGAUUUAUAGGGAGGCUGAUAUAAGUUUGCUGAUAUAAUGAAAACAUGAAAAGGAAUUAUUUUAAAAUAAUUGUCAAUUCACAAAUUUAACUAAAAAUAUUCUUAAUAUAUAGAGAAUAUAUUCCAUUUUUCUUUUUUUCCAAAACUCUGCUAGUGUUUAUCUUUUAAAACAAAAAAGUAUAUUUUUCCAUUAGAGGGAAAUGCUAAGAAACAGAAAUGUCUUACAAUUUUACCCCAUUUUUCUAUUAAAGUAGCACAUGAAAGUUUAUUUAUUAUUACCUAUUUUAAUUGACUAGGUGAAUAAAUAGCUUGUUAGCACAGUAAUAUAAAACUUUGGGUGUUUUAUUUUCAAUAAAUUUUAUUUAUAUGUAAAAUACAAUAAAUUAAUUUUUAUGCCCCACCUACGUAGUAGAGGGGCAUUAUGUUUUCUGGUCUGUGCGUCCGUUCGCCCAUUUGUCUGUUCAUUCAUUUGUCUGUUUAUCCGUUCGUCCGUCUGUCCUGCUUUAGGUUUAAUUUAGUUUUUGAUGUGGUUGAAGUCCAUUCAACUUGAAAUUUUAUACACAUGCUCCCCAUGAUAUGAUCUUCUAAUUUUAAUGCCAAAUUAAAGUUUUGAUCCGAAUUUUACGGUCCACUGAACAUUGAAAAUUAUAUUGUGAGUGGGGCAUCUGUGUACAAUGGACACAUUCUUGUUUUACGUUAAACUGUCACAGUAUGGGGUAGAAUCUGGUUCUUAAGUUAAUGAAUUCAUAAGAACAGACUCUGUAAGCAUAUCAGUUCUUUAAUUAAUAUUUGUGGUCUCAAAAAAUCAUGAUAUCUUUGAAAAUAAAAUAACUACUCAUGGCACCAAAUAGAUUUUACUUUUAUUUUGUUAUGAAGUAGUUUAAGUGAAACAGGAAACCCUUAUUAUUUCUUUAAACAGUUUUGAAUUAUGAACCUCAAAAAUACUUUACAAAUUUGGUUUUAAUAAAUGAAGAAAAAAGUAGUGAUAAUUUUCAGUUUAAAUUCAAUUUGUAGAUUUGACAUGAUAAAUUACGCAUUUUUUUUAAUUUUUCAAAACAAACUCCCUAGUAAGCUUUAGAUGAAGAAAAUCAAAGGAUUAUUAAUUUUAGAAUAAAUUCAAAGUUUUCCCAUGUUUAUUAUAGCUGCAUACUAGGAAUUGGUAUUUGUUUACUUGACAAAAGAGGAUUUUUAUUUUAAGUCUUCCUGUCGGGUAUUAAAAAAUGGAUUUCCUGAAAGUUGGAUUUGAGGCUUAAACUUCUUUUCUUACACUAUUGAACCCCAAACCAAAAAGAUACACUAGUUUUUCUCUGCCAAUUAAAAGUGGUGUGUUUAAAAACAACUAAAAAAGAUUUGCUAUUUCAGUUAUUGUUUGGAUAUAAAAUAUUCUUUUACUUUGAUAGAAACAGAAAUCAUCAAAAAUUCAAUAUCUCAAAACGGACAUCAUAAGGACUCCCCUGUGAGGAUGUGGGAGCCCUACAAUUUUUACUUUGUUCGUAAAUGCAAAAUCUCCAAAAAAUUUAGAUAGUAAACUUGAUCAAGAAUGUUGAAUAAAAUAUGUUCUGCAAAUUUGGAUGACAAUUAAUUGCAAUUAUGUACCAUUUCAACAAUAGAAGUAGUAUAGACUUGCAAAUCCAUACCAUUACAACACUGGAAGUAGUAUGGUUGUCUGAGCGAAGCCAAUUGGAAGUAUGUACCUCUUAGUGAAGCUAAUUGGGAGCACACCCUCUGUCUUGUUGCGAAGCUGAUUGGAAGCAGUACAUAUAUACCUCUGUCUGCAAAAACUAAUUAGAAGCAGUACCCCUGGCAGAGCGGUCCCAAUUAGAAGCAUGUAACUCUGAGGGAAGCCAAUUGGAAGCAUGUACCUCUGCAAAAUUUGAUUAAACAUUAUUCAACAAAUUUUAUUUAACAUUCUUUUCAUUAAAGUUUGAUUUCAGACCAACUCUCAUUUUCUAUUUAUAAUUACUCCCCUUGUUGACAUUGUGACAUGCAAAUUAUCACUUCACCAUUUUGUACUCUCCUGUGGUUUUUAUCCUGUUGAAAAUGCACUAGAAACCGAAACACAUGCAUUUAAAUUAUUACAGCACACCAUCAUUCAGACUGAUUCAACUUGAAAAUUAGUUCAUGAACCCCUCUUUUUUUAAAAUGACAUUAGGUUGAAAAUGUAUCAAGAUUAUUUGUGCCAAUUUACCAAAUCUUUCAAAUAAGAUAAAUAUUCAGCCAAAAAUGAUGUGCUUUUUCCUUUACUAAAAUCUGGUCUUUAAGAUCAUUUUUGCCAAUUUGAAGAAAUUCCCAAUGAUAUAUUUUAAAUUAGAUAAUUUAAACAUCCAAAAAUGACGUAUUUAUUUUACUUAAAUAAUGAAAACAUGAAAAUUAAUUAUUUUAAAAGAAUUGUCCAUUCGCAAAUUUAACUCAUAAUACUCUUAAUGUGUAGAGUUGAUAUUACAUUUUUUUCCCCCAGACUUCUCUUGUGUUUAUCUUUUAAAACAAAAAAGUUAAGUAUAUUGUCUGUUUGCCCAUUUGUCUGUUCAUUCGUUCAUCUGUUCAUCCGUCUGUCCCACUUAUAAGUUUUUGGUCAAGGUAGUUUUUGAUGUAGUUGAAGACCAAUCAACUUGAAACUUAGUACCGCUGGUCCCAAAUGAUGUAAUCUUUCAAAUUUAAACGCCAAAUUAAAGUUUUCACCCCAAUUUCACCAGCCACGGAACAUAGAAAAUGGAAGUGCAAAGUUCAGGUUAAGUUUUUGGUCGAGGUAGUUUUUGAUGAAGUUGAAGUCCAUUUAACUUCAAAUUAGCACACAUGCUCCUCAUGAUAUGAUCUUUCUAAUUUUAAUGCCAAAUUAAAGUUUUGAUCCCAAUUUCACGAUCCACUUAAGUUAAUGAAUUCAUAAGAACAGACUCUGUAAGCAUAUCAGUUUGUUAAUUAAUAUUUGUGGUCUUGAAAAAUCAUAUCUUUGAAAAUAAAAUAAUUGCUCAUGACACCAAAUAUAUUUUACUAGAAAUUAUUUUGUUAUGAAGUAGUUUAAGUGAAAAUGGAAACCCUUAUUAUUUCUUUGAACAGUUUUGAAUUAUGAACCUCAUAAAAACUUUACAAAUUUGAUUUUAAUAAAUGAAGAGAACAGUUGUGAUUAUUUUCAGUUUAAAUUCAAAUUGUAGAUUUGACAUGAUGAAUUACGAAAUUUGUUAUUUUUCUAAACAACUCCCCAGUAAGCUUUAGAAAAGAAAAUCUUGAAAAAGAAAAAGAAAAAAAGUGUUCUGUCAGUGAAAGGAUUAAUUAUUUUAGAAUGAAUUUAAAGUUUUCCAAUGUUUAUAGCUGCAUACUAGGAAUUGGUAUUUGUUUACUUGACAAAAGAGGAUUUUUAUUUUAAGUCUUCCCGUCAGGUAUUAAAAAAUGGAUUUCCUGAAAGUUGGAUUUGAGGCUUAAACUUCUUUUCUUUACACUAUUGAACCCCAAACCAAAAAAUUACACUAGUUUUUUCUGCCAAUUAAAAGUGGUGUGUUUACAAACAACUAAAAAAGAUUUGCUAUUUCAGUUAUUGUUUGGAUAUAAAAUAUUCUUUUACUUUGAUAGAAACAGAAAUCAUCAAAAAUUCAAUAUCUCAAAACGGACAUCAUAAGGACUCCCCUGUGAGGAUGUGGGAGCCCUGCAAUUUUUACUUUGUUCGUUGGUCUACAAUUUUGGAAAUGCAAAAUCUCCAAAAAUAUAGAUAGUAAACUUGAUCAAGAAUGUUGAAUAAAAUAUGUUCUGCAAAUUUGGACGACAAUUAAUUGCAAUUAUGUACCAUUUCAACAAUAGAAGUAGUAUAGACUUGCAAAUCCAUACCAUUACAACACUGGAAGUAGUAUGGUUGUCUGAGCGAAGCCAAUUGGAAGUAUGUACCUCUUAGUGAAGCUAAUUGGGAGCACACCCUCUGUCUUGUUGCGAAGCUGAUUGGAAGCAGUACAUAUAUACCUCUGUCUGCAAAAACUAAUUAGAAGUAGUACCCCUGGCAGAGCGGUCCCAAUUAGAAGCAUGUAACUCUGAGGGAAGCCAAUUGGAAGCAUGUACCUCUGCAAAAUUUUAUUAAAAAUCAUUUAACAAAUUUUAUUUAACAUUCUUUUCAUUAAAGUUUGAUUUCAUACCAACUCUCAUUUUCUAUUUAUAAUUACUCCCCUUGUUGACAUUGUGACAUGCAAAUUAUCACUUCACCAUUUUGUACUGUGGUUUUUAUCCUGAUGAAAAUGCACUAAAAACAAAAACGCAUACAUUUAAAUUACUACAGCACACCCUGUAUAAUUAAGGGCCAAAUUUUUUAAAGUCAAAGGUGCAUAAUUUUAGUUUAUGCACCUUUAAAUGAUAAGUUAAAAUAACUUACUGUAACUUUUUGAAAGCCAAGGUUACUCAAGAUUUAUAGGGAGGCUGAUAUAAGUUUGCUGUCAAGGCCAUCAUGAUACAGUAACAGCGUAAUGAUGUCGCUAAUGUCAGAUGUUACUUUUCGCCAUGUCAAAUAGUUACGUAUUAAGAAAAGAUUCAUUCUUUGACUGAUUUUUAUCAUUUAGACUGAUUUAACUUGAAAAUUAGUUCAUGAACCCCUCUUUUUAAAAAUGGCAUUAGGCUUGAAAAUGUAUCAAGAUAAUUUGUGCAAAUUUGAAGAAAACACCAAUGGAAACUUUUAAAUAAGAUAAAUAUACAGCCAAAAAUGAUAUGUCUUUUCUUUUACUAAAAUCCGUUAUUGCUUGGAUAAAUGCAAAAUCUCCAAAAAUAUAGAUGGGUAUAUUUUUCACAGUUAUUGUGAUGUGCAUCAUAUGUCAAUAUGUGCAUAUUAUUUUUUGGUGGGGAAAAAGAAAUCAAAAUUUUUGAGAAACAUUCUUUUAAAAAUAAAUUGCCAAUGUGAAAGGAUUAGGUUCCAUAAGUGCCCUUAAUGACUCUUAAGAUGAAAAUUGUUUUUAGUUGAUGCUUAUGUGCCAAAAAGGGAAAUACUAUUUGCCAAUAGCAUCCUAAUUAUGUUGAAAAUAGUUUUUUUUUGUAAAAGUUAAUUUCAACCACAAUGAGGCCAAGGAAAUAAAGAGAUUAGGGUUCCACAAGUCUAUAAUUCAUUUGUUAUAAGAAACACAAACUGUAGAAGUAGGUUUUGUUGAUGCAUUGAAACCCUAUUUAAUGUAUAGCUUUGUUUGUAUUGUAUCGGAAUUAUUUAUUUGCUUAUGUGACAUGUGCCACACAAAAUAUGCUUGCCCAGCCUGAAAUUGUCAUUUUUCUAGCUUUUUUCCAAAAAACAGACUGAGUGCUUUUUUUUUCUUUAUCUUUAUUCUCAUAAAGCCAAUGCAUAACAUCGGUACAGAGAUAACAAAUACAACAAUAAAUAUUUACAAUAUGUACAAAACAAGCGAGAGAGGUUACAAAAGUUACAAGCCAGGAGUACAAACACUAGUAUUUAUAUUUUUUGCUGGAAAUGCAGCAAAUAAGAAUGAAUCAAUAAUACUGCAAUGUAUUUUGUACAAAUAGUAUUUUCCUAAUGAAACCUAAGUGACCUUAUCCUUGGUGUAAUUAAAUCCUUUUCUUCCUUUGAAUUGUAAGAUGAUAUACUACAGUGACAAAAAAACUACAGUGGCAAAAAAUGUAGUUGCUAUUUGAUUUUUUUUUCAAUUUAGUGGAAGCAGAUUAGUUGUUAUUUAGAUAUUUUGUAGCAUGAUGUAUCAUAAUUAAAUUUUGCUUGUGUUCCAUAGAAUUAUGGUGAAAAAUAUUUUUGAAAACCUUCACUUUCUACCCAGAGUGUCAAGUUUCUUUUUAUAUACUCUAAAUUAUAUAUUUGCACAUGAUCGUGUAUUUUGUUUUGAUUUAUAGUUCUCCUUUUCUUUUAUACUGUCAAAAGUAUACCUCCUUACACAGUUCCUCCAAGCAAUUAGUUAUAAAGCAUGUUUCAAACAUUUUCCACUAUAUAUUCGACCAUUUAAUCUCGUUUUAAAUACUGUUUACAAGUUAUUAUAUAUUUUUCGGUAUAGCAUUUCGCAGUAUAGCCAAAAAAUACUGCCUUAAAUUUUCUAUCAUAUUUUGUAUGGGUCAAUGAUGUAUGAUUUGAUCAUUCAGGUGACCUAAUGUUUUGUUAUGCUAAUUUGUUUUUCGUGAGUUUGUGAAAAAAAUGUCUAGGUGGUCAUUCUAGUCGCAGACAUUGACAGUUAGCUAAAACUUCCUUUUAUGUAUAAAAAUUUGUCUUUUUAUAUAAUUAUAAUCAUGAUGGAGUACGGCAUCAUUACCCAGAAACGGUUCUUGCAUUGCUCCGUGCGCAGGUUUCCAAACUUUAAAAGUUGGUUUUUCCUGGGCGGCGAGUGUCUGUUAAUGACGGGUAUUUAAAAUAUGAUAUUUAAUGUUUGGAAUGUUCUUGAAUGUUAAUAGAUUUAUUACUAUUGUUGCUGGAAGUAUAUUUUUUUGUUUAAGUUGUGUUUAAACUACUUAUUAGUAUAUAUAUACUAUUACUGUGUUAUAUGAUGUUUGCAUAUGUAUAUUAGAUUAUUGUAUUUUAUUGCAUUACAAAUUUGAUUGAAUGCUGGCUCCAGUCUGUCUGCACUGCAAAAUGCAUAUUUGAGUUGAGUCUAAUUUAGUUUGUGAAAUUUAUUGUGUAGUUAGGACCAUUAAUUAUCAUUAUAAUGAUUUUCUUUAUGUGUAUAUGUUUAUGCUUAUGAGUUGAAUUCAUGUAUAUUGUAUGUAAUAAUUCCCUAGGCAUAAAAAUUGAUUGUCUUCUUGCAUAUGUGUAAUACAUGUACAUGUAGGGGUAGGAAUUUUAGCACCAAUAAAUUUGGAUUGUUAAGUGACAUCUUAAUGUAUUUAGUUCUAACCUGAACUUUAAACAUUGUAUUUUUUUAAAGAACAAAGAUUUGCAUAAUUUUGCAUUUGGAUAUUACAUUAAUUUUGACUUUUGUAACAAAUAUUUUAUAGCUGUAGUCCUAAUCAAGGAUUUAUAUAGUAGCAUCUUACUAUACAAAUCCUUGUCCUGAUGAUAAGAUUUCUUUUUUACUUACACAUUUACAAACAAAAUUAUGUUUCCCCAGUGAGGUCCAACACUAGAGUUUCUCUCGCAUUGACAAAUAUAGUUUGUAUAGUUAUUCAAAUGCAUAAGGUUCACAUUAGAUUAUUUUUCUAGUACCUGUACAAGUUAUUGAAUUCAUAUUGUAUAGUGUGUUUAUAUUGAUAAUUUGUCUUAUUAAAUGGCAGUUCACAAUAUGCUGUACUCGAGCUAGUCAACAAACAUAA